CGAGCCCGCCUCUUUGGUCGGAUUCGGGCACGCCAACAGACUGCUGAACGGACAUGAUUUCCCCUGUAUCGCGGAUAGAGUCUCCCCUGUACGUCCAAGGCGUCACAAUCAUACAAUGCGCGAGGUUCCAACGAGGAACAACAUUCAAACAAGAUUGCAUAAGGAAGACAUCAAAAACAUAAAUACAACUAAGUUAUUACAAUCAUUUAACUCACAUUCUACAUUUUACAUCACAUUUUACAUUCUUUAAGUCUCUUUUUAUCUUCCAAAUACAAUCAAGUUUCCAACAUAAUUAUUACAAUAUUGAUCAUUUCAUUCCUAUACCCCUAAACUAAGCCGAC
rnacentral:lncRNA from 1 species